ACAUGCAAGUCGAACGCUUCUUUUUCCACCGGAGCUUGCUCCACCGGAAAAAGAGGAGUGGCGAACGGGUGAGUAACACGUGGGUAACCUGCCCAUCAGAAGGGGAUAACACUUGGAAACAGGUGCUAAUACCGUAUAACAAUCAAAACCGCAUGGUUUUGAUUUGAAAGGCGCUUUCGGGUGUCGCUGAUGGAUGGACCCGCGGUGCAUUAGCUAGUUGGUGAGGUAACGGCUCACCAAGGCCACGAUGCAUAGCCGACCUGAGAGGGUGAUCGGCCACAUUGGGACUGAGACACGGCCCAAACUCCUACGGGAGGCAGCAGUAGGGAAUCUUCGGCAAUGGACGAAAGUCUGACCGAGCAACGCCGCGUGAGUGAAGAAGGUUUUCGGAUCGUAAAACUCUGUUGUUAGAGAAGAACAAGGAUGAGAGUAACUGUUCAUCCCUUGACGGUAUCUAACCAGAAAGCCACGGCUAACUACGUGCCAGCAGCCGCGGUAAUACGUAGGUGGCAAGCGUUGUCCGGAUUUAUUGGGCGUAAAGCGAGCGCAGGCGGUUUCUUAAGUCUGAUGUGAAAGCCCCCGGCUCAACCGGGGAGGGUCAUUGGAAACUGGGAGACUUGAGUGCAGAAGAGGAGAGUGGAAUUCCAUGUGUAGCGGUGAAAUGCGUAGAUAUAUGGAGGAACACCAGUGGCGAAGGCGGCUCUCUGGUCUGUAACUGACGCUGAGGCUCGAAAGCGUGGGGAGCAAACAGGAUUAGAUACCCUGGUAGUCCACGCCGUAAACGAUGAGUGCUAAGUGUUGGAGGGUUUCCGCCCUUCAGUGCUGCAGCUAACGCAUUAAGCACUCCGCCUGGGGAGUACGACCGCAAGGUUGAAACUCAAAGGAAUUGACGGGGGCCCGCACAAG
rnacentral:rRNA from 1 species